rnacentral:rRNA from 1 species
AUUGAACGCUGGCGGCAUGCCUUACACAUGCAAGUCGAACGGUAACAGGUCUUCGGAUGCUGACGAGUGGCGAACGGGUGAGUAAUACAUCGGAACGUGCCCAGACGUGGGGGAUAACGAGGCGAAAGCUUUGCUAAUACCGCAUACGAUCUAAGGAUGAAAGCAGGGGACCGCAAGGCCUUGCGCGUUUGGAGCGGCCGAUGGCAGAUUAGGUAGUUGGUGGGAUAAAAGCUUACCAAGCCGACGAUCUGUAGCUGGUCUGAGAGGACGAUCAGCCACACUGGGACUGAGACACGGCCCAGACUCCUACGGGAGGCAGCAGUGGGGAAUUUUGGACAAUGGGCGAAAGCCUGAUCCAGCAAUGCCGCGUGCAGGAUGAAGGCCUUCGGGUUGUAAACUGCUUUUGUACGGAACGAAAAGGCUCUGGCUAAUACCUGGGGCACAUGACGGUACCGGAAGAAUAAGCACCGGCUAACUACGUG